CAGACUACACUCAAUAUAUUAUCAUUUUGUAAGGUUUGGCCAAGUGAUAUUAAAGGCAUCUUCUUGAAUCCAGCAGAUGAAUGAAUCAAACACCAACAGGAUUCAAAGGGGAAAUGCAACAGAACAAUCUGAGGCCCAUUCUUUGGAUUCACGUUGGCUUGCUACCAUCUCAAAGAUGACCAUGCUGCUUUUGGUUUGGUGUUUUGUUUGAGUCCUUGGAUUCGCUGCCUUUUUGAUUUUAUUAACAUUUCUGAAAAACAGACGGCAAACAUCACAAAUGAAAACUCAAAGAGAUGAGGUCUCUGAAAAGCUGAAGAGACGAGAGAAACAUAAAGGUUACAAAGAGAGGAUUAAUUCCGUUUACAACGAGUGGUUACCAGACUAUCAUUAAUACAACUGUAAAAUGUUAUUUCAGUAAUAAGCAAAGGCUUAAUAGUGCAUUAUUGUGAGUAAUGAUUGUGAACUCCACAGAAACAUCUGUGCUAGCAUAUUUUUUUAGAUUGCAACUGAAAUAUUGUAACACUUUUUCAUACAUGCACUAUAGACUAAACAUUAUAAAGCAUGUACAGUUGUAUUAUUCACAAUGAUCCAGCAGAGGGUACUAAUGUUUUAUUGUAU